UGGGGAAUAUUGCACAAUGGGGGAAACCCUGAUGCAGCGACGCCGCGUGAACGAAGAAGGUAUUCGUAUCGUAAAGUUCUGUCCUAUGGGAAGAUAAUGACAGUACCAUAGAAGAAAGCUCCGGCUAAAUACGUGCCAGCAGCCGCGGAAAUACGUAUGGAGCGAGGGUUUACCGGAAUUAUUGGGCGGAAAGGGUACGCAGGCGGUUUAAUAAGUCGAAUGUGAAAGAUAGGGGGUCAACCCCGCAAUGCAUUGGAAACUGAUAGACUUGCGUAAUGGAGAGGAAAGUGGAAUUCCUUGUGUAGUGGUGAAAUACGUAGAUAUUAGGAGGAAUACCAGUAGCGAAGGCGACUUUCUGGACACCAACUGACGCUGAGGUACGAAAGCGUGGGGAGCAAACAGG
rnacentral:rRNA from 1 species